rnacentral:rRNA from 1 species
CCCUUAGAUGUUCUGGGCCGCACGCGCGCUACACUGACGAUGGCAACGAGUUUUUCCUUCGCCGAAAGGUGUGGGUAAUCUUUUGAAACAUCGUCGUGCUGGGGAUAGAUCAUUGCAAUUUUUGAUCUUGAACGAGGAAUUCCUAGUAAGCGCGAGUCAUCAGCUCGCGUUGAUUACGUCCCUGCCCUUUGUACACACCGCCCGUCGCACCUACCGAUUGGAUGGUCCGGUGAAGCCUCGGGAUUGUGGUUCUUGCCGCUUUAUUGUGGCGUGACCGCGAGAACUUGUCUAAACCUUAUCAUCUAGAGGAAGGUGAAGUCGUAACA